AUCGUCUGUCAAAGAACAAUUGUGUGGUUAGAAAAUGAGACUGUUGCUUUUGAUUGCUGGAAUAUUCUGUAAAGUUACUCAAGUAAUUUGACAGCACGCAUUUAGAAAACCAUCAAGUCUUAUUUUGUACAAAUAUAUUUAAGAUCUAUUCGCAAUUUGACAAUUGCCCACUUCUGCAAAAGCGUCGAGACGGAACAUAGUUUUCCUGGUCGCGAGCUACCGCGAGGAUCUAUUCAAUCAUCACAACCCAGACUGUUGUCUUCAAAUUAAUACUUGCUAAAUGGGUGCUCAUCGAAGUGAGGGACGGAGGGAUUGGCUUCAACAAGAUGCUGUUGAACAGCCGCCCAUACAAACUAUGAAUCCAUGGAACAUCAUGAUAAAACACAGACAGGUCCAUCGCAGGGGCAGACGCUCACAGAUGACCGUGAGUUACACGGAUCCUGCUAUAUCCAUGGACCUCCUCCGAACGGUUCUACAGCCCAGCUUCAAUGAGGACAUUAUGGGAGUCUUCAGAAAAUACAUGAAGUUCUUUGAGAAAGCAGCCAGCAAUGUCAAGGAGAACGUUGGAGACGACGUGCAGACCGACCAGCUGAUCCGAGAAGCCUGCAGAAACUGCCUGGAAAAUGCCAAACAGAUCUUUUCAGAUGGGGAGAAAGCGGUGGCAAGACCAGGGCCUGAGCUUCCAUUCAAGCGGGUGAAACUACCGGAUGAGUCCAGCCAAAGGGCCAGUCCUGUUCCAAAAAAGCGGAAAGGGCGCCCAACCGCUCCUGUCGGUUCUUACGACAAACCUGUUACAUAUAGCAAUGUGCCCAAGCCCAAGACAUUGGAGUCUGUAAAGCGUGAGGGACCAAAGUGGGAACCUUCCAGACUGAAUGAAGGAAGCACAUUUGUUCUUGGGUCCAGGGCAAACAAGGCUUUAGGAAUGGGUGGCACCAGAGGAAGGAUUUACAUCAAACAUGCUGAACUCUUCAAGUAUGCGGCUGAUGCUCAGGACAAACACUGGUUGGCAGAGAGACAGCAUAUGAGAGCCACAGGUGGAAAGAUGACAUACAGGUAUUUGGGAAACUGAAUGCAAGCAAUCUACAUAUGUGACCAAAUCAGUGGAUUCAAAGGAAAUAAUUCUUAUUGGAGAGAGUCUUUCAAAAGCGAACUAUGCCACCUUCCCUCGGCUGUGGAUGUUUCUAACAGAAAACAGCAUCAGUAAGUGUCCCACUCGAGUGAUGACUGCUCACCUCCAAUGCUUGGAAGAGCAAUUUGGGACCUACUUCCCAAUCCAUUGGACUGUGAUUCUGGCACCGUUGACAUGUCGGUAAGUGAAAUCGAACAGCUGAUCGAGCUGUCAUGUGAUCGAAUGCUUCAGACAACGCAUUCACAGGUCACUACAGAGGAGCUUUUGUUCCUGACUCAAAGGGAAUACCCUGCUGUCUCUCUGAACAUUAAUGCCGCAUUCAAAACAACUGGGAACUCGAAAUCUCCGACUUCAGUGCGUUGAAGACAACUGGGAACUCUUGGGGUGGGGGACAAGCUUAGACUGGGGGAAAAUAGUAUUGAACGGCCAUUCAACUCGGAAUUAAGGCAUCUUUCUAGAGCUCUGACUUUCCCACCUGAACGUCACUGACGUCAUAAUUUGACCCCGUAUUUUCGCAAGUUCCCAGUUGUUUUGAAAGCACCAUAAAACUCAUGGUACCUUUCGCCAGCUCAUAUCUGUAUGAAGCUGGAUUCAGUGCUCUCAUCUGCAUUAACCAGAUAUCGACCCAGGUUGGAUGUGACAGCAGAGAUGAGCUGUGUACUGUCAACCACACCCACUGACAUUGAGUAGCUCCGACGCGACAUGCAUCAAGCCCACUUAUCUCAUUAGUGGUGGUGAGAUACAUUGUCAGAUUAAUUUGCAAUUGACUGUCAUAGCCCACAUUAAAUGUAUGUGAUGGGGAGUUAAGACAAUCAGAAAUACAGUUAGAAUGUUUUUCAAUUGACUGCCAUAUCCCCAAAUAAAGUAAACAGUUAACAGCUGUUAAUUACAUAAUUUUUUUCACAUGGUUGGGGUCGCACUAAGUUUCAGACAUCAAAAUGGGGUCAUAGGGCCAUAAAAGUUUGGGAACCCCUGGGCAAGAGAAAGAUUGAACUGACUUUGAACAGGAUAUGGUAGUAGGUGCCAGGUGCACCGGUUUAAGUGUGUCAAGAACUGCAACACUGCUGAUUUAUAGUAAUUUAGUGUGUUAAGAUGCUUUUCUGUGCUGGAAUGAUGUGGGCGUAUACACAACAGAAUGCUGUGGGCGUAUACUGGUCAUUAAAAAUAUGAGUAGACUGCUGGUUGGCCCAAUCAUCCUCCUCUAGACCGCUGAUUGGCCAGCUCAUCCUCAGAAGUAUGACAUUCUCUAUGAGGAAAUGGCAAGCAUUUUUUUUUAACGGUCUGAGAUACAAGUUUGAAGUGGGGUUAUUGAAGUUUUUUUUAAAUUUAUUAUUUUUUAAUUCAUGCAUUGGCAGCAUGAGUAUAGCGUGAAUCAACAACAUUAUUUGGGUAUGCGUUAACAGAAUAUGAACAUUUUAAUGUGAGAUUUUCACAGGACAGUUACUUUAAGCUUCACUUUUCUGCUUUGUAAACACUAGCUUCUUCAAAUAUAUUAUUUUUGCUUAUUGAAAAGAUAUUUGUUUAGAUUUGUAUGAUUCUCUACAGUGUUGCUUAUUUAGUCACAUAAACUGAAAUUAGGUGAACAUGAUCGAAUAUAGCAACCAGGUAAUGGCGGAGCGAUUUCUACAUAUUGUAAGUUUAAAAACAAGUUUGAUUUGCUAAAUGUAUUAGCAAAUGUAAGCUAAUCUGAACAUUUUAUGAUUUUAUAGGCCUAUCUCCUUAUUGAAGAGGAUGUCCAGGACCUUUCUCUGAGUGACGAUUACAAAGAUUGCCCCGACCUAAAAAUGAACCCAAUUGAAUUAAAGCCUUUUACGGUUCCUGGGUGGAUGAUUGA